rnacentral:rRNA from 1 species
UCUUGGAGAGUUUGAUCCUGGCUCAGGACGAACGCUGGCGGCGUGCUUAACACAUGCAAGUCGAACGAAGAGCGAUGGAAGCUUGCUUCUAUCAAUCUUAGUGGCGAACGGGUGAGUAACGCGUAAUCAACCUGCCCUUCAGAGGGGGACAACAGUUGGAAACGACUGCUAAUACCGCAUACGAUCCAAUCUCGGCAUCGAGACUGGAUGAAAGGUGGCCUCUAUUUAUAAGCUAUCACUGAAGGAGGGGAUUGCGUCUGAUU